rnacentral:piRNA from 1 species
UGGUGAGGACUCCUCAGGAAGUCAGGGA